AAAAUACUCCCUCCGUCCGAAAAUACUCGUCGGAGGAAUGGAUGUAUCUAGACGUAUUUUAGUUCUAGAUACAUCCAUUUUUAUGCAUUUUUUCGACAAGUAUUUCCGGACGGAGGGAGUAGAUA
rnacentral:pre_miRNA from 1 species